GCGUGAAUGAUGAAGGCCUUCGGGUUGUAAAGUUCUUUUGGUAGGGACGAUGAUGACGGUACCUACAGAAUAAGCUCCGGCUAACUUCGUGCCAGCAGCCGCGGUAAUACGAAGGGAGCUAGCGUUGUUCGGAAUUACUGGGCGUAAAGGGUGCGUAGGCGGUUUAGUAAGUCAGGUGUGAAAGCCCCGAGCUCAACUCGGGAACUGCGCUUGAGACUGCUAAGCUUGAAUUCGGAAGAGGUGAGUGGAAUUCCCAGUGUAGAGGUGAAAUUCGU
rnacentral:rRNA from 1 species